UACGUAGGGUGCAAGCGUUAAUCGGAAUUACUGGGCGUAAAGCGUGCGCAGGCGGUUUUGUAAGACAGUGGUGAAAUCCCCGGGCUCAACCUGGGAACUGCCAGUGUGACUGCAAGGCUAGAGUACGGCAGAGGGGGAUGGAAUUCCGCGUGUAGCAGUGAAAUGCGUAGAUAUGCGGAGGAAUACCGAUGGCGAAGGCAAUCCCCUGGGCCUGCACUGACGCUCAUGCACGAAAGCGUGGGGAGCAAACAGG
rnacentral:rRNA from 1 species